rnacentral:rRNA from 1 species
GGCCUACCAUGGUGGUAACGGGUAGCGGGGUGUUAGGGCACGACACCGGAGAGGGAGCCUGAGAAACGGCUACCACAUCCAAGGAAGGCAGCAGGCGCGCAAAUUACCCAAUCCCGACACGGGGAGGUAGUGACAAUAAAUAACAAUACAGGGUUCUUUAGGAUCUUGUAAUUGGAAUGAGUACAAUUUAAAUCUCUUAACGAGGAACAAUUGGAGGGCAAGUCUGGUGCCAGCAGCCGCGGUAAUUCCAGCUCCAAUAGCGUAUAUUAAAGUUGUUGCAGUUAAAAAGCUCGUAGUUGAAUUUCGGGAUCGAUGGGUCGGUCAUGCCCUCGGUAUGUACUGAUCCCAUUGGUUCUCACCUUCUAAGGAACCAUGAUGUCAUUCGGUUGAUGUUGUGGGGAAUUAGGACUGUUACCUUGAAAAAAUUAGAGUGUUUAAAGCAGGCCAACGCUUGAAUACAUUAGCAUGGAAUAAUGAAAUAGGACGUUCGAUCUUAUUUUGUUGGUUUCUAGGAUUGACGUAAUGAUUAAUAGGGAUAGUUGGGGGCAUUAGUAUUCAAUUGUCAGAGGUGAAAUUCUUGGAUUUAUUGAAGACUAACUACUGCGAAAGCAUUUGCCAAGGAUGUUUUCAUUAAUCAAGAACGAAAGUUAGGGGAUCGAAGACGAUCAGAUACCGUCGUAGUCUUAACCAUAAACUAUGCCGACUAGGAAUCAGACGAUGUUAAUUUUUUAAUGACUCGUUUGGCACCUUACG